rnacentral:lncRNA from 1 species
ACUAACCUGAUUUCUGUUCCUACAUGGAAAAAGGAUUCAUGAACAUUUUGGUAGCAGUGGCAAUACCUGGAGUGGAGAGGAGCUGUCCUUUGCCAAUAGAGCAAGUACUGGUGUUCAAGGGUGAUUACCUCCCCCUGUGUGUAGGCAACACUUUUCUCUGCUUUUGAGGGGACGACAAUGUUAUAGUAAGACAAGUGAGACAAGACAUGUUAUUUUCAUGUAAUUAUGGUAAGGAAAAAAACUUAAAACAGUUGCAACAGUUGCAACAUAUAAAACGUGUAAAUGUUUACCUUUGCAAAGUGUCAUGGCAUGCCUAGUUGUCAGAGCAGAGUUCAGUUUGAGCUGUUUGUGCCUUGAUGCCUUUAAUCUGUGAGGAGUCCAAGUAGAUGUUAGCAUCUAUUGAAUUCAGGUCCCACAGGAAGAGUAGCUGCAUGGAAAAUGCCUCUUCUGAUAUUGCUUUGAAAUUGCCAGACUCACCUCAGUUAUGGCGAACUCCAAGUUCAUCACAGUAAUCCAGGAUGCUUUCCGAAGAAGGAUUUUCAGGUUGGAGAUUAUGGUGAUUGUGGCAGUGCUGGAGGAGAAGGAAGACAACAACAAAGGAAAAGAGGAAUACAAGGAAGAAAGGACAUAAAGGGAAAAUCAACAACUUUUUAUUAAGGAAAACAAUUAUGCCACCCACCUAUGGAUAUUGAUUAAUUUAUUGUAGCAGAAAAUAUCUUAGUUACAUAUGAGUACAUGUAUUUAACAGACAUACACACUGUCUGUUUUACAUUUGAAUUUUAUUUCCUGAUUUAGUUUAAUUUAUUGUAGUUAUAUUUCUGUUUUGAAUUUCGUUCAUUUUAUUUCAUUUUAUUAUGCUGUCUAUUUGAUUACUGCUUUAUGUUUAUUGUUUUCUUCUGUACACCACCCAGUGUGACCUCUGGUCAGAUGGGCAGU